UUCAUGGAGACAUCUAUUAGCUAAAUUUUUAAAUUUACGAACUCAACAUAAAAACGAGCCUAAAUAAAUACGUCUGUGCAAGAAAGAGGUAACUCGUUUAGAAGAGUGUUGUCGUAGACAAAGCUUAAACGCGUUAAUUUUAUGAGUGUCUUUUAAGGUUGAUUUUUAAUCAUGAUGGUUAUAAAAAUUAAAGAGUUUUGGAGGAAGGAAAUGGUUUAAACGAGGAAGAAGUAUACGAUUAGUAACGUUUGAUUACCGAUAAAAGGAAAUAUGUUCACUUAUCUUGAUUCCUUCUGGAGGUGUCACAUGUUAGUUAAAAAUGGCUGACUGACCUUGAUCUUGAGGGAUCCUUCGGGAACAGGAUGGAAGAUUGGACUCGAACUCAGAUUCGACAACACUUGACUCUAGCCAAAUUUAAUCUCUCUCCGGUGUCAAUUUCCGCGGCCUUAUAUACCCUUUUUGGACAAAGCCUUCUUGGAUAUCCGAAUUUGAUCCUGUCAGUUUUAAUCUGGGCUCUCCGAUUGGUUAUUUAAGUGGCGGGAAUUAUAAAUUACACAGAUAAACGCGCUUUCGGGUGUCAAUUUCCUUCGAGAAAAUCGUAAUUUGAAUUUGAAGUUUGAAAAUGAAAAAUUGGAAUUUAAAUAGAUA